AUGUAUGGGGAGUCGGAGACGGCGAGGAAGGUGGAAACAUGGAGGACUCUUAGAAUUCUUGGGCAACAACACCAGCAGGGUAGACCUUGGCUAUGCCUAGGUGAUUUUAAUGAGAUUUUAACUGCAGAUGAGAAGAUCGGUGGGGCGGCCCGACCCCAACAGUUCAUGGAGAGAUUUAGGGAGGCACUGGUGGGCUGUGAUCUGAGUGAUAUUGGCUUCAUAGGCGACAAAUUUACUUGGCGCAAUCACAACAUAUGUGAAAGAAUCGAUAGGGUAACUGCAAAUGACAACUGGUGCACAUCAUUUCCUGAGUUUUGUGUGGAGAAUGGUAUACCGCGUCAUUCUGACCAUAGGCCAGUGGUGGUGCAAACCGAAGGGGAAGCUAGGAGGAAUCAAGGAGGAGACAGAAAAUUCAGAUUUGAAGCAUGGUGGCUCAAAGAGGAGGGUUGCUCUGAAGUUAUACAGGACGCGUGGGAGCAGGGGUGGUUGAAGGAAGGAUGCAAUGUGGCUACGGCCAUGUGUGAGAUUGCUGGUAGUAUGAAGCGUUGGAGUAAGGAGGUGGCCGGAGAGUUGGAGUGCAGGGUGAAGGAGGCGAAGGUCAAGCUUGAAAGGUGUAUGAGGAGCCCAGUCUCUGAAGAAAAGGUUGGGGAAGAGGCGAGGUUGAGGAUGGUACUUGCAGACUUAGAAGACAAAAGGAACACGAAAGCAAAGCAACGGUCACAUAUCUCCUGGCUGAGGGAAGCAAACCGAAAUAACAACACGAAGUAUUAUAUGGCGGUGGCAUCCAAUAGAAGGAAAACAAAUCGGAUCAAGCUGCUUCGCAAGGAGAAUGGGGAGGAGGUGAAGGAAGGAGAGGGGAUGACUAACUACGUUUGUUCAUUUUUUUAG
rnacentral:rRNA from 1 species